UCAUUUUUUUUUCACGAGGUACAACUAGAAAUUCUUAUUUAUGUUUUACUGAAUCGACCAUAGAACAAUUCCCCUUUUUUUGGGGGGGGGAGUAUUGAGUACACCCAUCGGUCUGAGCUUCAUGUGACUCCUCCAAAGAGACAUGUCAGGUUCAGGGCAUCCCAAUUCGAUUGCCUGGGAUGACAGCUUCAUAUUUCUAAUCUGUAAAAUCAAAAUUUUGAUCAAAUCACACAUCGCAAUAUACUAGGCCUUCUAAUUCCAAAAUGAAAUACUUGUUAUUGUAUUCAAAGGAACAAUAAAAAGGACUAUUUCCAUUCUUUUGAUUGAAUCAAGAAUAAAAAUUUGUAUUUGGUGUGUGGAUAAAAGUUAUUUUGUCGAGCCAUAUCUAUCAAAAUUCGUCCAACAAAAGAAAUUGUUUUGAAUUAUUAAAUUUAGUUAUUUA
rnacentral:lncRNA from 1 species